rnacentral:rRNA from 1 species
AUGGUGACACCGCAGCUCAGGGGCGCGGGAGUCUUCGGCUACGCCGACGGCACAACACCGGAGCCGGCCAAGUUCCUCACCACCAAAGAUAAGGAUGGGAAGGAAACCUCUGAGCCCAACCCUCUCCACCCUUUUUGGGUCCGGGAGGACCAACAGGUGCUGGGCUAUCUCCUCAGCACCCUCACCAAGGAGGUCCUGCUGCAGGUGACCAUGAUCACCACGGCGAGCACGCUCUGGACGACGCUUGCAGGUAUGUUCUCCUCGCAGUCUUUGAGCCGGGUCAAUAACAUCCGCACGGCCCUGCUCAGCGCGCAGAAGGGCACCCAAUCGGUCGCCACCUUCUUCACCCAUAUGCGUGGCCUCGCCGAUGAGCUGGCGGCCGCCGGCAAGCCUCUGCAGGACGACGAGCUCAUCAGCUACAUCCUUCACGGCCUCGACAUGGAGUACCAGCCCUUGGUCUCUGCCCUCGACGUCCGCACCACCCCGGUAUCCCUCGAUGAACUCUUCUCUAUGUUGAGUAACUUCGAUCAACGGGUGGCCAUGUACCAAGGGUCGGGCGGCUUCAAAUCUUCAGCCAACGCCGCGGCCUGUGGCCGUGGCGGCUCCUCUCGCUACCGUGGCCCUCCUCGCUCCAAGGGCAAGCCUGGCGGUAGCGGUGGCAGCAACACCAGCGGCUCCAACUCCCGUAGCGGGCGCCCCUCCUCCAACAACACUAGGGGUCGCCGCGGCGGGAACGGCAAGUCUCGCCCGGAUGUCGUGCGUUGCCAGAUCUGUGGUAAACUCGGGCACUCGGCUAAAGACUGCUGGUACCGCUUUGAAGAAGAUGAGGCUUCAUCCGAAAAUGAGGAAAAGGUUGAUGCCGCUGCUGAUGGUGCCUACGGCGUCGACACAAACUGGUACCUUGACAGCGGCACCACCAACCAUCUCACGGGUGAACUUGAGAAAGUAACCCUCCGUGAGAAGUACCCCGGCAAGGACCAAAUUCACACCGCGAGUGGGGCAGGAUCAGGCCACGAGGAAAAUCCUAUAUCGAGGUAG